CAGUUGGACCCAGUUCAUCCAGCAGCUGUCUGGACUCUGGCUGUGGAGACACACAACAGCCAGGAACAUUUCACACAGGGAAAAUACAAACAGGGGGAAGAAAAUCUCACCAAAAUUAGUCUGACUGCCAUCCUGCCCAUCUGUGACUUCUGUUCCAGCACUCAGGUAA